AUGAACGCUAGCGGCAGGCUUAACACAUGCAGGUCGAGGGGCAGCAUAAUGGAUAGCAAUAUCUAUGGUGGCGACCGGCGCACGGGUGCGUAACGCGUAUGCAACCUACCUUUAACAGGGGGAUAACACUGAGAAAUUGGUACUAAUACCCCAUAAUAUCAUAGAAGGCAUCUUUUAUGGUUGAAAAUUCCGAUGGUUAGAGAUGGGCAUGCGUUGUAUUAGCUAGUUGGUGGGGUAACGGCUCACCAAGGCGACGAUACAUAGGGGGACUGAGAGGUUAACCCCCCACACUGGUACUGAGACACGGACCAGACUCCUACGGGAGGCAGCAGUGAGGAAUAUUGGUCAAUGGACGCAAGUCUGAACCAGCCAUGCCGCGUGCAGGAUGACGGCUCUAUGAGUUGUAAACUGCUUUUGUACGAGGGUAACCGCAGAUACGUGUAUCUGUCUGAAAGUAUCGUACGAAUAAGGAUCGGCUAACUCCGUG
rnacentral:rRNA from 1 species